rnacentral:snoRNA from 1 species
UAAGAAAUGAUGAUAAAUUAUCUUUCGCCCCUAACUGAAAGUUUUGGAAACUUCGUAUGUUGAAUGCGAAUUGGUCUUACUGAA